rnacentral:rRNA from 1 species
UACGUAGGGUGCGAGCGUUGUUCGGAUUUACUGGGCGUAAAGGGCGCGUAGGCGGCAAUUCAAGUCAUCUGUGAAAUCUCCGGGCUUAACUCGGAACGGUCAGAUGAUACUGCUUUGCUAGAGUGCAGAAGGGGCAAUCGGAAUUCUCGGUGUAGCGGUGAAAUGCGUAGAUAUCGAGAGGAACACCAGAGGUGAAGACGGGUUGCUGGGCUGACACUGACGCUGAGGCGCGAAAGCCAGGGGAGCAAACGGG